rnacentral:tRNA from 1 species
GGCCUCAUCGUCUAGUGGCUAGGAUACAAGGUUUUCAUCCUUGAGACAGGGGUUCAAUUCCCCUUGAGGCUACCA